AGCUUUCCAGGAGCGCACCCAAUUCAUUACGCACGCUCAGAGGCACGUCCCCUCCGGUGCGCACAUUUUUUGGGGGAGGGCUCAUCGUCCCAUUAAUAUUUUUUUCUGGCGCUGGGCCUGACCAAGACCAAAGGGAAAGUCAUGGUUUUGUCUGAGAUUGUAAUUGUACCAAUCAGAGAAAAUGAGUGAGAAAACCUCUCGUUUGCGCGCGCGUGCUGGCCGAACAAUCACAUGGAGCAGCUGCGGUGCUCCACACAGCCACACAUUUUCUGUGCCUUUCCCACCAAAUGGCUCUGGUUUUCUUUUCCACCAAAGCCAAAGGGAAAAUCAUUGUUCGAGAUUUAAAUUGUACCAAUCAGAGA